GAAGAGAGAGUUAAACAGUACGUGAAACCGUUCGGGGGUAAACGGACAGAGCCCGUGAAUCCGGGCGGCGGAAUUCAGAAUCGACGGCGCGUUCGCGCGCGUCGACGGUUCGAUAUUUCCGUCGCCGUUCAAUGUUUACGGACGUCGCGACCCGUUCGGUGUCGGUCCGAGGAGACGUGUCAAAGUUCGUCGGCGCGUCGUCGAAUCGUUUCGGCGGUUAGGCGCGCGUCGGUGAGUCGCGUUUUUCUAUUUCUGGCCGACUCGCCGGACGGUAAGUGCAACGGUGUCCGCGGCGACCUAGCGUCGUCGUUUCGGUACCGGUCUGCGACGAAUCUUCGGGCCUCUUUCCGACCCGUCUUGAAACACGGACCAAGGAGUCUAACGUGCGCGCGAGUCGCGGGGUGUCGUGCGGUCGGCGGCGUUCGUUCGCGGGCGUCGUCGGCCGCUCGUUACAAUACGAAACCCGUCUCGUUUUACGAAAGGCGCAAUGAAAGUGAAUUUAGGGGAAGAUGACGUUACCGAGUUCACGUUCCGCGCUCUUGUAGCGCGGCCGGUCGUCCGCAUUCCCAGGGCGUUCCAAUGGCCCGGCGGCGUUGCGGAUCGUCGUUCCUUCGGGGGCGGCGGUCGGGCGUCGUCGAACCGGAGCGCACCUAUAGCGUGCACGUUGGUACCCGAAAGAUGGUGAACUAUGCCCGGCCAGGAUGAAGUCAGGGGAAACCCUGAUGGAGGUCCGCAGCGAUUCUGACGUGCAAAUCGAUCGUCUGAGCUGGG
rnacentral:rRNA from 6 species